rnacentral:rRNA from 1 species
AGCAGCCGCGGUAAUUCCAGCUCCAAUAGCGUAUAUUAAAGUUGUUGCAGUUAAAAAGCUCGUAGUUGAACCUCGGGGUCUACCCAUUGGUCAGGCUUAAUUGUCUGCACUGGUGGGAUGGAUCUCUACCUUCUGAGGAACUUUCAUGCCAUUUAUUUGGUGUGAUGGGAAAUCAGGACUGUUACUUUGAAAAAAUUAGAGUGUUUAAAGCAGUACUAUCGUCUGAAUACAUUAGCAUGGAAUAAUGAAAUAGGACGGACUGAUUCUAUUUCGUUGGUUUCUAGGAUCACCGUAAUGAUUAAUAGGGAUAGUUGGGGGCAUUAGUAUUCAAUUGUCAGAGGUGAAAUUCUUGGAUUUAUUGAAGACUAACUACUGCGAAAGCAUUUGCCAAGGAUGUUUUCAUUAAUCAAGACGAAAGUUAGGGGAUCGAAGACGAUCAGAUACCGUCGUAGUCUUAACCAUAAACUAUGCCGACUAGGGAUCGGACGAAGUUAAUUUUAUAAUGACGCGUUAC